rnacentral:rRNA from 1 species
AGCGGCAGACGGGUGAGUAACAUGUGGGAAUCUGCCUUUUGGUUCGGAACAACACGGGGAAACCUGUGCUAAUACCGGAUAAGUCCUAACGGAGAAAGAUUUAUCGCCAAAGGAUUGGCCCGCAUUUGAUUAGCUAGUUGGUAAGGUAAAAGCUUACCAAGGCGACAAUCAAUAGCUGAUUUGAGAGGAUGAUCAGCCACACUGGGACUGAGAUACGGCCCAGACUCC